rnacentral:rRNA from 1 species
GGUUACCUUGUUACGACUUCACCCCAGCCAUGAAGCACACCGUGGUAAACGCCCUCCCUAAGGUUAGACUAUCUACUUCUGGUGCAAUCCACUUCCAUGGUGUGACGGGCGGUGUGUACAAGACCCGAGAACGUAUUCACCGCGGCAUGCUGAUCCGCGAUUACUAGCGAUUCCGACUUCAUGGAGUCGAGUUGCAGACUCCAAUCCGGACUACCAGAAACCUUCCUAGGAUUAGCACCACCUCGCGGCUUAGCGUCCGUCUGUAUCCCCAU